rnacentral:lncRNA from 1 species
GUUUCACGUAUGGUCAUGGUGACCGAGGUUAGGUCAGUGAAUCGUGAGAUGAUAUAUCUUUGUGAAACCUGGGAUAAGAGUCCAACCUGCGGCUGCUCCAUAAUGUAUGUCCUUAGUGGGUUUGGGCUCGAGAAGGAGAAAGGAGUCGGAGAAAAUGGGUGAUAAAUCAAGAGACACAGAGAAGUGAAUUGAAAUGGGAGCGGCGAUGGGCCCUGAUACUAUUUUCCUUAGAAAAACCAUGAAAGGAAAAUCUGAGACAUAAGAGACCAAGCGGAGGUAAGAAUUCUGAGAUAGAAGGACGUGGCCAAUAGUGGCGCUAGGACAGAUAAAGAGAGACAGCAGGGAGAACUCCAAGGUUGCAGGAAACAAGAGAAAAAGCAGGGGGCCUCACCCCAGCCUUUAUUGUGGAUUGAGAGGUGAUCAAUGAAUAGGUGACAUAGUACAUAGUUCUUAACUUUGGUUGCAUAGACAAUGACAAGAUCAGAGGAGGCGGGGAUUCUCCUGACAUGAGCUUUUCAGAGGAACGAGGUUUGACAUGGUGAGGGCUAAGCCUUUGUGGCUCAGGCCCAGGAAUUCUCUUGCCCUCAGAACUGCCGAUACAUCGAUCGUGAAUGGAUCUGAUCAAGUAUUUCAUACAUCAACCAUACCCCCAUGCCUGGUUUUCUCCCUCCCCUUGCCUUCCUUCCUGCUUUCUUCCCUCCCUGGUGAAAUGAAGGUCCCCUCAUGAAGGUGCUUCUGGAAGGUAAGUGUAAUGAAUCCAUUUCCGCUCACCCUCCUGGUUGUGGUGGAUGCCAGCCUCUGGUCAGCAAGGUGGCAAUCCCUCCUUACCCAGGGGGUCCAUACCGGGGUGGGAGGGAGUUGUGUGUCAGCAUCAGGAGCAGUAGUAGCAGCUGAAUAGCUCCUCUGGGGACCUACCAAAGUCUCCCCUUUGGGGACUACUUUGGCGAUUGCGGGCCAUGUGAUUUGAGGGUUUUUUCUUUGUUUUUGGCGAAGCUUCUUUAGACAGGUCUCCCCCAAUCUGAAGGCGAAGGGGAACACUGGGACUCCUUUGGGCAUUGUAGGUCAAUACCAAGGAGGGUUGUUUUUUUUUUGUUUGUUUUGCCUCCGCCGAACCUGGGCUUUUUGUAAGGGAUAGAUGUGAGGCAAGGCCAGUCCCAGGUCGGAGGUGUGUGUGUGUGUGUGUGGGGCUGAGCCUUUUCCCCUGGCUGCUGGUGGUGUAUCCCUUAAUGUGCUUUUGGAGCCCGAACCAAGCUAGCUGCCAAGCUAGCAGCCAUAGGAGGGCCUGAACUACUUUGAACAUGAACAACCACUGAUGACUUAAAUUGAUCACUUUCCUAUAAUGAAAAGGAAGUGGAGAAAUGGAAAGGAAAAUUCAAAGCAAAACCAAUUCAUGGAGUGUGGGUGUCAUCUGAAGGAAAACCCCUUCAGAGGAGGCAGGGAUUCUCCUGACAUGAGCUUUUCAGAGGAACGAGGUUUGACAAGGUGAGGGCUAAGCCUUUUUGGCUCAGGCCCAGGAAUUCUCUUGCCCUUAGAACUGCCGAUACAUCGAUCAUGAAUGGAUCUGAUCAAGUAUUUCAUACAUCAACCAUACCCCCAUGCCUGGUAGGUUAUAUAUCCACCCCUUUUUUUUUUUUUUACAAAAAUUAAAUAAGAGGGUAUCCUGUUACAAUGAAAUUGUAAACUUAAUCAACAAACAGGAAUACUAGUGAGCUAUCAGAUAAAGAAUC